rnacentral:rRNA from 1 species
CUAAAAGCCAUCCCAGUUCGGAUUGCAGGCUGCAACCCGCCUGUAUGAAGUUGGAAUCGCUAGUAAUCGCGGAUCAGCAUGCCGCGGUGAAUACGUUCCCGGGCCUUGUACACACCGCCCGUCACACCAUGAGAGUCGGGAACACCCGAAGUCCGUAGCCUAACCGCAAGGGGGGCGCGGCCGAAGGUGGGUUCGAUAAUUGGGGUGAAGUCGUAACAAGGUACC